GGUAAGAUGGCUGAGUGAAGCAUUAGACUGUAAAU
rnacentral:tRNA from 1 species